rnacentral:lncRNA from 1 species
GGAAAAACGUGAAAUAGAGAAGAGAAAACAAAACAAAAAUUUGUAAGAAGAAAAGAGGAAAUUUUUUUUUUUAUUGCUUGCUUGCUUGAAGGUGGACUUUCUUAACAUCCAUCUUCACAUUUUAGCAUCUUCAUCACAAUUUUCAUUGCAUUUUCAUUAUGCUUCCUUUAUUUUCUUAUUAAUUUUCUUGAAGGUUUUUAGUCAAUUUUUUUAUUUGAAGUUUGAAUCAAUUUUUAUCCAACUAAUCAAUAGUUGGAUUGAAGUUGAAAUCCAAACAAAAACAACAUAAAUCCACCACUGAAAAAUUGAGUUUAGGGGUCGACCAUGGUGUCCCUUUUGUUGGCCGAACCUUUUAUUAGCUUCUUUAAUAUUUUUUUGCUUUUGAAUAUUGCUUAUGAUGGUUAAAUGACUAGUUUGCUUGUAUUUUGUAUAAACUUUGCUUGAUUAAUGAUAUAUGAUGGUGUUUGGUUUAUGUUUCAAGUGUUCAUAAUCUUUUUGUUAUUUUUAGUUUGUUUUAUGUUUGAUGAAAGUUUCCUUGUGAUAUGAAUCUUUUUGCAUGAUGAUUAGGAAGGUAAAUGAGGUAAGCUUGGCUUGAAUGAAAUGAAAAUGCUAUGAUGGGUUGAUAGUGAAGGUUCAACCAUGGUGGUCUUUGGUUGGCCAAGCCAUACUCUUUGUUUUAUGAAUAUUUGGUGCUUUGAUUCUUUUAUUAGAUUAUGUUUUUAUGGUGAUUUGUAAGUUUCUAAUGUAUUUGAACAAAAUUUUCAGUGAAAAAAUGUUUAUUUUGAUGAUUGUUUUGGUUGAUUUUUUUUAGUUGUUUGGUUGGUUUUAAUGAUGAACAAGUGCUGGAACAUUCAAACCAAAUUCAAAGUUUUUUCAUGUUUAAUCUUUUUUUUUUUUUGAAUUCUCAUGCAUAACAUGUUUAUAAUUUAAGUUUAAAAAUACCUUUAUUUGUAAUUAUUUUCAAGGUCAUACAUUUGGUAAAUGCAUUCAUUAAUGUCAUUUUUGUAAUUUGCAUUUAUUCCAUUUUCAUUUUCAUAAAACCCAAAAAAUGAAAACCUUAAAUUUAAAACCCUAAACCCAAGCCAUAAAACCAAACCCUAAACUCUAAACCAAACCCUAAACCCUAAACCAAAACCCUAAAUUGAAACCCUAAAUUCAAACUCUAAAACCAAACACUAAUCCCAAACCCUAAACCAAAACCUAAACUUUAGCCCCAAACCCAAACCCUAAAACUAAGCGCUAAUCCUAAACCCUAAAACCCUAAACCUUUACCUAGACUUUAAACCUUAAACCCUAAGUUUCAAACCUAAACCCUAAACCUGUCCCCAAACCAACUUAAACCCUAAAACCAAUCAU